AUUUGCUUGUUUUUUAAGUGGAUUUGCCUUCUUACGAAGCUGAAAUAACUCCUUUAUACACUGGUGAAUUAAAAUCAGAAAAUGUGACUUAUGAGCAUGUGAGAAAUAAAAUUGAUUGCCCUUGUCUUCUUCCUAACUGGUGCACUCAUCUUCAAUUUUUAGCUCCUCCAGAAAAUUGUGAAUUUAAUGUAGAUUAUUGUGAAAAAUGUGGAGAGAAAAAUCAAACUUGUUUAUGUUUGCAUUGUUUUAAGGUAUAUUGUGGAAAAAAUGCAAAUGAUCAUAUUUUUCAUCAUAUGAAAGAAAACAAACAUUACUUUUGCAUUAAUAAUUCUGAAUGCAGAGCAUGGUGCUAUGGCUGUAACUCCUUCAUUAAUAAUUUAAUGACAAUUGAUAUCCAGAGACUUGUAUACAAGAAAAAAUAUGGAGUAGAACUGCCCUAUUUCAGCUUUGUUUAGAUAAACCAAAUUAUUACGGUAUAAUAUUUUGAAUAAAUUAAUCAUAUAUUUUUAAAUGUAUUACCCACAUUUUGAUAAAAUUUAAAAAGAAAAUUUUUUACAAAUAAAUGAAAACAAU